UACAGAGGUCUCAAGCGUUGUUCGGAUUCAUUGGGCGUAAAGGGUGCGUAGGCGGCGCGGUAAGUCGGGUGUGAAAUCUCGGAGCUUAACUCCGAAACUGCAUUCGAUACUGCCGUGCUUGAGGACUGGAGAGGAGACUGGAAUUUACGGUGUAGCGGUGAAAUGCGUAGAUAUCGUAAGGAAGACCAGUGGCGAAGGCGGCUCACUGGUCCGGUACUGACGCUGAGGUGCGAAAGCGUGGGGAGCAAACAGG
rnacentral:rRNA from 1 species